UACGUAGGGACCAAGCGUUGUUCGGAUUUACUGGGCGUAAAGGGCGCGUAGGCGGCAUAUUAAGUCAUCUGUGAAAUCUCCGAGCUUAACUCGGAACUGUCAGGUGAUACUGAUGUGCUAGAGUGCGGAAGGGGCAAUCGGAAUUCUUGGUGUAGCGGUGAAAUGCGUAGAUAUCAAGAGGAACACCUGAGGUGAAGACGGGUUGCUGGGCCGACACUGACGCGGACAGCGCGAAAGCCAGGGGAGCAAACGGG
rnacentral:rRNA from 1 species